GGGGGGGGGGGGGGGGGGGGGGGGGGGGGGGGGGGCGGGGGGGGAGGGGCGGGGGUGGGGGGGGGGGCGAGUGGCGAACGGGUGAGGAACACGUGAGUAACCUGCCCUUGACUUGGGGAUAACUGCAGGAAACUGGGGCUAAUACCGGGUAGGAGGUCCUGCUGCAUGGGGGGGGUGGGAAAGUUUCGGCGGUUGGGGAUGGACUCGCGGCUUAUCAGCUUGUUGGUGGGGUAGUGGCUUACCAAGGCUUUGACGGGUAGCCGGCCUGAGAGGGUGACCGGCCACAUUGGGACUGAGAUACGGCCCAGACUCCUACGGGAGGCAGCAGUGGGGAAUAUUGCACAAUGGGCGGAAGCCUGAUGCAGCAACGCCGCGUGCGGGAUGACGGCCUUCGGGUUGUAAACCGCUUUCGCCUGUGACGAAGCGUGAGUGACGGUAAUGGGUAAAGAAGCACCGGCUAACUACGUG
rnacentral:rRNA from 1 species